UUUGCUUGCGCAACAACUUCCAUCCUUCAAUCCUCUUCAGUUGUCUGUUAGGGCUUGUGUUGCCUUAUCGGAUUGUGGGUUUGCUGUAUUGUCUACCUAAGCUAUGGUAUUUUGUUGAUCGACCCUGUAUACUUUCAUCUUCUAUCAUUAUCAUGAUACAAGAUGAACCUCGAAGUGAUCUCUUUGUACCACCUUGUCGAUGCAUCGUCGGUAUUGUGGCCCAUUGAGCAUUGCUUGGUUUCAUGGACACAGUAAAUGAUGUGGGCAUGGGUUCUUAUUUGAUCCCUAUUUUGUCCUCCAAUAGCGUUGCGCUACUCUUUUAAUGACCUUCCUUAUCUUGUGACCGCAUGUCGGAGCAGGUCUGGUCGUAUGUUAUUUUAAGAGUAACCGCAACGUGCAUUCCUCUAAGCGAUUGCAUAUCCCGCCCGGCUCGUACCAACGGGAUAUGUUGUCAAUUAUGAAUGCUACCUGGUUGAUCCU
rnacentral:misc_RNA from 1 species